CAAUAUUUAAAGAACAGAGAAAAUAACACUUGACAGAAACCAAACAAUGACCCGAAAUGACUCUAGAAAGGAGUUGCCUUUCCCUUUUCAAAGCAAUCAAUACAGACAAGAACCACACUACAGGCUAAAAUCAUCUGGGGCCCUCUGUGCCACGACUAAUUUGCUCUCCCUACAAGUCAAAUACCCGAUGAUAGAAAGGCAAAAAGGCCACAUAUCCGACAUCCAGUGACUAUUUAUUAAUUUAUACAAAUACAUGAGAUGUGGGGUGGAGGGAUGCAUGAUGAAAUGUUAUUCUCAGGUAGGCAAUACCUUUCCAAAUCUCCAUGGGAUUUAUCAAUUCCACGUUUUAUCCUCACUGGCGUGUGUGUGCGUGUGUGUGUGUGUGUGUGUGUGUGUGUGU